GAUCUGAACCGUCAUUGGCAGGACCCUUCCCCUUGGGCCCAUCCCACUCUACAUGCCGUCAAACAACUCAUUGUCCAAAUGAACCAAGACCCAAAAGUGAGUUUGGAGUUCUACAUCGACGUGCACGCCCACUCCACCAUGAUGAAUGGCUUCAUGUAUGGUAAUGUCUUUGAGGAAGAGGAGAGAGGGCAGAGACAGGCCGUUUUUCCUCGACUUCUGUGUCAAAACGCGCCUGACUUCUCUCUUUCCAGUACAUCGUUUAACCGUGAUGUGGUCAAGGCUGGUACCGGCCGACGGUUCCUGGGUGGUCUGCUGGAUGACACAUAAUACUGCUACACACUGGAGGUCUCCUUCUACAGCUACCUGACAGCAGGAAGCACCUCACCUGUGCCGUACACUGAGGAUGGCUACAUGAAGCUGGGCAGAAACGUGGCCCGGACAUUCCUGGAUUACUACAAACUGAACAACCUGAUAGAUGAAAGCAAACUCACAGGACACAUUA